GUGGAAAAAUCAUAAGGAACCUUUAUUAGGUCUCUCGGUUGGUGAAGUAGUUUGUUCAUUUUUUAAAAAAUGUGCUAUUUGGGACACUUUUAAAUUUCUUAAACAUUUUCUUUAUUGGUGCAUUUUAAUUAUACACAAUGGUGGAAUUUUAUUAUUAAGUAUUCAUGCACGUGAUAUAACAAAAAACUUGGCCAAUUAUCCUUCCCCAUUAUUUCCCCUUUCCCUCUCCUUUUCCCUCCCCAGGUCAUUUGCACUAUUCUACUGAUAUUUCUUUGAAUUUUCAUGAGAUUCCCCCACACCUUUCUUUGCCUUUUUCCUCUCUAGCUUCCACAUAGGAGACAAAACACACUUGACCUUCUGAGUUUGGCUUAUUUUGCUUAACAUAAUGUUUUCAAGGUCUAUCCAUUUUCCUGCAGAUGACAUAAUUUCAUUUUUCUUUAUGGCUCAGGAAAACUCCAUUGUGUGUAUACACCACCUUUUCUUUGUCCAUUCAUCCUUUGACAGACUCUCAAGCUGGUUCCAUGGUUUGGCUUUUGUGAAUCAUGCUGCUGUAAGCAUGGGUAUGCAUGUAUUGAUAUAGUGUGCUGAAAAAUAUGGAACACUUCACAAAUUUGCAUGUCAUCCUUGCACAAGGGCCACACACAUCCCUGUAUCAUUCCAAAAGCAAGCACUUAGGGCAUUUUGUGCAUUUACUAAGGUAAUAGCUCAGCUCUUUAAAUCAGUCUAUUUUAAAACAAAUGGUUUCUUGAGAAUUAAAAUUUGUUUGGUGAUCUAAUUGUGCAUAUGGGUCAUGGUCUUUUCUUUUUCUUCUUUUGUUUGUG
rnacentral:lncRNA from 1 species